AUGAAGGAAGAAGAAGAAGGUGGUUUCACGCGACUUGCCUCGUUCGCCUGCGAUUGCGAGCCUUUCUCGGAGGAAGACAUUGAAGCCAUCGAAGCUUCUAUUUCCAACCUUAGAAAAAAACGUCCCUUCAGCCAUCGCUCUCCCCGACGACGCCGCUUGCCCUUGUCGCUUCACGCUCUUCAGCACCCUAAUGCUGCUGCUGCUGCUUCGUUCUCGCCUUCUCGAGGCUAUUCAAGCAUGAGACUGCCUGUAAUGAAAUUUAGUGGCGAAAUUAUGUAUAGCAGGACUUUUGAUGAUGUGGAGAAAGCCGCAACAAAGCUCUUGAAAAUUUUGGAAGACAAAAAGAGAGAGAUGACGCGAAUUGCAGUUGGAUUUGACAUUGAGUGGAGACCCACCUUCAGAAAAGGUGUUCCACCUGGGAAGGUAGCAGUGAUGCAGAUAUGUGGUGACACUAGUCAUUGUCAUGUUCUACAUCUAAUUCAUUCUGGAAUCCCUCGAAAUUUACAGCUUUUGCUUGAAGAUCCCACAGUCCUGAAGGUUGGAGCUGGCAUUGGCGGCGAUGCUGGUAAGAUUUUUAGAGAUUAUAACAUAUCUGUUAAAGGCGUGGAGGAUCUUUCUUUUCAUGCAAAUCAAAAGCUUGGGGGAGGUCCUCUUAAGUGGGGUCUGGCAUCUUUGACAGAAAAACUUCUUUCAAGACAGACUCCGUUGGCUUUGAAAAAUGGAGCUUUGUUGGGUCUUGAAUCAGCCAAAAGGAAAUGGCACGUCUUCUUCUCACUAAACCAAUUGGACUAAGAGAUCAUCUUUACUUAAUUUUAAAAAUAGAGGAACUUAAUUGGCUCCAAACAAAAAUUCAAGGACUGAAAUCACACAUAAUUUUAAUUGAAGGUACCGAAGUACAAUUAAAUCCUUCAUUUUUUAUUAUUUUCUUUGCUCAGGAGAGAGGGGGCAGGGAAAUAUUUCGACUGUGUUCUUGAAAAAGGUGAAGAACUAUGUUGACAGGAUAUUUACCGAGCUUGUUAUGUUUUCAGCUUAAAAAGCCCAGCAAAAUAAGACUGGGAAAUUGGGAGACUCCUGUUUUGUCAAAGGAGCAACUAGAGUACGCUGCAACAGAUGCUUUUGCUUCUUGGUAUCUCUAUCAGGCAAUUAAAGAUCUCCCGGAUGCCC